rnacentral:rRNA from 1 species
UACGGAGGGUGCAAGCGUUGUCCGGAAUCACUGGGCGUAAAGGGCGCGUAGGCGGCUCGGUAAGUAGGGGGUGAAAUCCUGCGGCUCAACCGCAGGGCUGCCUUCUAAACUGUCGAGCUCGAGCACGGUAGAGGCAGAUGGAAUUCCCGGUGUAGCGGUGGAAUGCGUAGAGAUCGGGAAGAACAUCAGUGGCGAAGGCGGUCUGCUGGGACGGUACUGACGCUGAGACGCGAAAGCGUGGGGAGCGAACAGG